rnacentral:rRNA from 1 species
UACGUAGGGGGCAAGCGUUGUCCGGAAUCAUUGGGCGUAAAGAGCGUGUAGGCGGCCAGAUAAGUCCGCUGUGAAAUCUCGAGGCUCAACUUCGAGCUGUCGGUGGAAACUGUCUGGCUAGAGUCCGGAAGAGGAGAAUGGAAUUCCUGGUGUAGCGGUGAAAUGCGCAGAUAUCAGGAAGAACACCCGUGGCGAAGGCGGUUCUCUGGGACGGUACUGACACUGAGGCACGAAAGCGUGGGGAGCAAACAGG